UGUAAGUUCUCGGCAUGGCAAAGACUGGAGUAUUAGCUCGGCUAGGUUUCAAGUCUUUGGGGCACUCUUCUUCAACUUUCAUCAGUAAGUUAUGGUUACUACUCGCUCCUCUUUCGUUCUUCCUGCUAAGCCUGUUACCAAGGAUCCCUUGGAUCCGAGUGUAGGCUCCUCUGGUACUAUGCUAGACCAGCCACCCAAUUAGCCGUAGUGAAACCUUCUGGGGACUAUAUAAUCCCUCCCGAGCCUGAGGAGUCUGCUUCCUCUUCUUAUGAAACUUCUAGUAGCUCGAGCUUGGGCAGUGGCUCUGGGUCUGAGUCUACUGAGGAAACCGUGGUGUCAGAUGUUCACGUUAGGGUAGGUCCCAAUGUUGCAUCUUCUAAUGAGCCCCCCAAGGUAGAUGUGAGGGAGACUUCUGCUACAGCAGCGGCAAGGGCCGAAGCUUCAGGCGAAGGGGAAGCUAAGAGUUAUGAAGGGGAAGGGUUGGCAUCCUUCUUUGAUGAAGCGAGGACUACUUCGUCCACUGGGAGUAUUUUGACAGUAAAAGUUUUGAACCUGAUAAGGAAACGGUUCAGCAUUCCCGACUAUGUGGUGAUGAGGGUCCUUGAUGAGGGAUAGACAAUAAACACUCACGGGGACGAGGUGGCAUUGUACAUCGCUGGCUUUCAAUGUGGCCUCAGGAUCCCUAUUCUCGAGCUGGUGCUCGGCUCUGGAUUACUGGGGGAUUGCACCGAGCCAAUUAGUGCCGAACUCCUGCUGGAUUUUGCUUAGCUUCGAAGUCUUCGUAUCGAAGAUAGUGUGACGCGACUCUGGAUACAUUUUGACAAUACUUCAUUAUGAACAGACAUCGCUCCGGGUGGUAUUACUUUACCCGUAGGAACAGAGAUGGGUCAUAUGGGACUUUACAAAUGUUUACCCAUAUGCUUUCAUCUGUGAAGAACUGGAAGGAUCGGUUCUUCUAUGUGGUAAUGUCCGGUAAUCCCUUCAAGGGGGCCUAGACCAGGAAGAGCCUUACAAAACUGAACCAACCUCCUACCCUUCGCGAAAGUGAUCUCAAGACUGCCCAAAUGCGCUUAGACGGGGAGGUGGUGGACGUCCGAGAUCUGUCCGACGAAGAUUUUCUUCGAGAGUGGGAGCUCAGUGAAGUUCUGAAGGAGGUGGUGAAUGUGGCGAUUGAUCCCUCCAAGCUUGUUAUGGCAUCGGCACAAGCUCAGAAAGUGCAUGCUAUCAAAUAGGCAGCAAAAAGGUUAGUAGAGAAGGGGAAGAGAGUCGUUGGUGGGCCGGUUGGAGCCACCAAGACUGCCCCUAUAGUGAUUGAGCCACAGGCCAAGAAAGUGAAGAGCCCUCAAGCUAAGGUUUUGGCACAGCGUGGCGCGCCGAGUAAAGGUAAGAUGGUAACUCCUACCCCCAAUCCCAGCUGGGGUCAAAGGUGGAAGUUUGGGGAAGACACCACCCCCUGCAUCACUUCAUCCUUCCAAGGAACAGGGGGAAUGUAAGAGGUAUCGUGAGGAUCAGUUGCCUGGCUGCUUUGAUGCAAAUGGCCAGACUAAACCCUCAGGGAUGGUGCUGAUGCAGGCACCUAGCAUAGGGCGUAGGCCUCUCGCAUGGGAUAUACUCGAUGAGAUGGCCACCAUCACCAAUGUUAAUGAUGCUCAAACCUUUGGCAAUUGGGGCCAUCUCCUUGUCGAUAUGGAGUACGUGAGGAAUAUUCUAGACGUGCAGUUCACCAAGCAACUCUACUAUCACAUUGGUGACGUGAGUUACUUUUAUUUAUUUACUUAUUUUUGGUAUCGAGCCUGUUUUGAAGCAAGGGUAUAACUGGUCGAUGGAGACGACUUGUCAGUUUGAACGGAUGGCGCACGCUUGUAUGAAGGUCGAGACAAAGACAGAAAGGAUCGAGGGGGAGCUGUUGAAGGUUUUGGGUCAGCUAGAGAUGACUAGUAAGAAAGCCCACGUUGCAGAAGAUAAGACCGAUGUUGCAGAGAAAAGGGCGGAGGACCUAUUGGCUUAGAUGGCCAAGAAACUCUAAGUGAACAGUAACUUGGUGAAGGCUAAGGAGGAGCUCCAGGUUGAAGUCACUGAGACCCAGGAAAGAUUGAAAAAGCUAAAAGAGGAGCACGCUGCUCAGAUGAGAGUGUUAGUGGAAAAGCAUCAAGCUGAGUUAAAGGUUGCAUUGGGGAAUGCAGGGGAGAGGUAGGUCACUACUUCGGAAGGGCAAGCAUGGUUGAUUGGUCUGAACACCACUUCAUUCAACCUUGGCUCGGACACCACGGUAAUUUUUUCUCUGGGCAAGUGUCCCUCCUUCAACUUUUCUAACUAUGAGCACUACGUUGCUCCUCCUCUUGAGUCUCCGGUGCAGCCUGUUGGUCCAGAUGAUCACGAGGAAGAAGUGAACCAAGAAUCUGAAACUGAGGUCGCCGUCCCGAAGAAGGAUGGCAAGUGAAGUGGAGUCAAGCUCUCCCCCCCCCCCCUUUUUUUUUCUUAUCUGUGUGGGCGUAAAGUCGCCAUUUGUAAACAAUUUUCAUCUUCUCUCUUUUGUAAUCAAGAACCUUUGUACAUCCAAUUUUUGGUGUUAAUGGAAAGAAUUUCUUUACACAA